GGCAUGCCCCUCACCGGGGGCCGCUGAAGGCGAUGUGGCGGCCGCCAUCUUCUCACCGUGCCCGCAGUCUGGGCCAAAGAUCUGCAUAAGAUUUUUGGUCUGGGCGACCGCUCACGGGACGCUCCUCCGCCUAAUUCACCUGCUGUAGAAAGAAGUUGACAGCCUUUCUACUUCAGCAAACAAAAGACAUUACAAUAGUCACUGACCAGCUUUCCUGCACCGGAGAAUAGAUCGUACUUCUUGAACAGUCCUGCGAUGCGUGAGUUUCUUGUCCAGAGCAGAGUGACGGUAAGAUUUGGGGAACCGCUCUUUCACAAUGGUUGGCUUUCCAAGGAAAUGUCCUCUGUAAAUUUUGGAUUCAGCGCCUUGUUUGAUCAUCUGGAAAUGCUGAAGAAAAUCUUUGACACGGAGCUUUGCGAGUGCCCCCAGGUCAUCCUGUUGCAGAGUAUCUGUCGCCAUGGUGUAGGAUGUGCAAGAAAAUCUGCAGUGAAAAUCAAACGCAUGGAAAAUGUGAAUCAAAAAUUCAAUACAAGGACCAAACUCAAAUAUUGAAGAUGAUGAAACGCAAUUGCAAAAAUUUUAAAGCAUAGCAGAUCGCGAUAUCAGGACAAAACAAAAGAUGUCUCCGAAGAAAUGCAAAAUUGUCAAUCCAAAUGCCCAGCAAAAGAGACAGAUUUAGACAGCAUUCGCAGAGAUUAUCCGUACUUGGACUGCUGCAAAUGUGAUGGUCUAUAGGACAUUCUUAAUGGGAAAGUAGUGGGCACAAAGGCAUGUCAUGCGUGGUUUGAAGAGCAAAAACUUGUAGUUUACAAUGCCAAAAUUGAAAAGUUGAAGAAAAAACAGGUAGUCUCGGUUUUUAUUACUAUUUCAGUCAUAACGGUCAAUUUUGUAAUUAGCUACAAUUAGGUAACUAACUAAUUAUAUGCUUUAAUUUCAGGUCAUCCAAGUAAGAUGUUUCAUAUUUGUUUCAGAAUGUUUCAAUCCAUAAUAACUGAAAAUUUCAUUCCGUUCUCUUAACUUUUAAGAAAGUUAUGGGCUUUUGACUGUCCUCAAUCACAGCUUUUGUGUUAAUGUAAAAGCAAUAGGGAACAAGAUGCUAAUUUCCGAGUAUGAAAAUUACUAUACCUUUUUUAAUACUGAAGAUAUGAAAGUGAAUCGGGUAUCAAAUUAAAGUUCUUUUUAUGCUUUAUUUGAUGGGAUAAAUUACUGGCUUGAUUUUUUAAAUCUCAAAAUUUUGUAACAUUCCUACUAUGUAGGUAUGUUACAAAACCUACCUGAAUCGUGGCUGAGCAUCU